UGUGGUUUAAGAGGACUUUUGACCUGAAUACGCACCAGCAUUAAGAGGACAUUUCCGUUUAUGAGGACAGGGGCCAUGUCCUUAUAAAUCCGACCUUGUAGCAGUCCUUAUCUCAGUCUAGGGAUCAAUUCUGUACCGUUUUUGGCCCCAUGUCCGUAUAGACCACAUAAACCUGAAAAAAUACCACACACUGUGUGUUCUCUAACCCCUCCAUGCGCCCCUGUAGACCGGUCGCGGAACUGCACCUACGUCAUUAAGAAUUUGCAUAUACACACAAGUGUAAGUUUUCCCGGUCUCUGAUUGGCUGGCUACAAGAAUCCUCGUCGGUGAUUGGCCAGCAGUAACAGGAGAAGCGCUUCCGCUAAGGGGCGGGACCUUAGAGGGAGCGUGCACAUAUAAGGCCUCGCUAAGAGGCGGGACUUCCUUUAAGACACAGCUGCGGGUGAUUUAAUACAGCGGGGUUUUAAUCCACGGAGUUUGUAAAGUAAUAUAACACACGACGAAUUAAUAUCGAGUUUGGACUCUCUGCACCCUGGAGAAGAGGACAUCGGUGUCGGAAGCCGCUGGCAUAUGAAAGUCUGAUUAAAACAUGAUGAUGAGGAGGAGGAGGAGGAAGCCCAGUCCACUGGAGGAGGCCACACACUUCAGCCUUAAGAAGAAAGAUCAAGAUGGUCUGGAAGCUCGGUUUAUAAAUGAGUUUAAAGGGAGAGGUGUGUUUAGUUGUACUGACUUUGAUAAGGGAGAUUUCCUAUUGGAGUACAGAGGGGAUCUCAUAAGCAGAGAAGAAUGUGAGCGGAGGCAAAGAAUAUAUCAUGAUGCCCUCAAAGUGUUCAUGUAUGAAUUUCGAUUCAAUGGCAAAUUCCUUUGUGUUGAUGCAGCCCUGGAUGAUGGCUCCCUUGGGAGACUGGUGAAUGAUGACCAUAUAAAACCAAACUGCAGAAUGAAGACCAUCCGUGUGGAUGGUAACCCUCAUCUUUAUUUGCCAUAAGAAGCAUCUGUCCUGGUGAAGAGAUCACAUACAAUUACGGCGAUUCUGAGUGGCCAUGGCGAUGCAAGAUGACAUCGUCUAAGAAUUCACCACCUCCAGAACAAAAAGAUACAGCAGAUAAAAAGGCAUCCAAAAAGUGCCCGAUAAGCGAGUUGCCAUCAGACAGUGCUGCCUGUGAAGAACUGACCGUAGAAACAGACGAGGUUACCCUUGGUAUGGCCCAAUUGUCCUCAGAGAAGCAGAAUUAUAUUAAGAAGAACGGUGGGGAGAAGGUUUAUCCUGUCAAAGAGUCGUUGGUUAAAGAGGAGCUGAGCUUUUACUUAUUAACACAAGGACUUGAACAGAUGACAUCAUUUAAGAAUUCACCGACACCAGAACAACAGGAUACAUCAGAUAAAAAGGCAUCCAAGAAGUUGAUGUGAGAUUGUGACAGUGUGAAGCCAGUGGACCUGAUGCUGAAGAUAACGUUGCUGCUGGUGCCUCUAAUCAUGUAGGUAUUCAGAAGAUGCCCACUGAAACACCUCCUGAAGUUUCUCAAGGUACCUGAGAUUUUACAUUGGAAUAUAGCCAGCAAUGUAAGUACAUGAACCUCCCACAAAAUUCAGGCUUAAUAAAGUAAGUAUUCUUAUGUACAGGUAAUGAGUCCAGGACAAAGAUUGGGAACCCAUGAAUAAGUUGAAGAGUGUGUUGGUCCAAUGCUGAGAUUUUUUUACAACUGUGAUGAAACUUUUGAAAGCACAUAUAACUAAAGGGAAACUCGGCACUUUGUCUGAAUGCCAGCAGUGUUAGACUUUGUAAGAAAUGGAGGUCUUUGCUUGAAAAGGAAAGCCCAAAAUAAGUGAUACACAAGCAAGUACGUUAUUUCUUUGAGAUUUUUUUGUCCACUUAUUUUGUUUUUCAUUUACAUAUGCAGCAGAUUGUUUUUAAAUUCUACAGUUGUUCUUAAAUUCUGCUUUAACAUUUUAUUUUGAAUAACUGGUUUAGGUUUCAUCUUAUGUUUUAUUGAUUAUAUAUAUAGCUAUGCCUUAUUUUAUUUAGAUUGUUUUGAAUGGUUCAAUGGAUUAAGAUGCCUAUGAAAGUACAUAGUUGUACAUGAUGGAUGUCUGUUUCUUCACUUGGCAUGCUUGAACUAAAAAAAAGUUUUUCAAUAUUAUUAUUUCAAUAUUAUAAUAAAAAUUUAAUAUAAUAGUACUUGUGUUUAUCCUGGCAAUGCACUGUUGUCAAUUUUGUGUGUUGCAUUUGGAUAUGUUCCAAUAAAACACAUUUGUCCCUGUAGUACUGUAAGAUCUUUUAUUGUGUGUUGUAUUUGCAAAACGGUUCUUUCAAAUCACCUUGGUCCUGGCAAUGCACAGUAUUGUCAUGUUUGUGUGUUGUUUACUAUAAUGUGCCAGUAAAACACAUUUGUUCCUAUAAACCAGCAAAUUUACUUUUUCUGUGUGUUGUAAACUGCAUGGCGUCAUAAAUCAGUAGGACCUAGUAAACCCCAAUUUUCACAGGGGCGGGUACUUUUAGGAGUGGGCGGGGAAGUCCUUAUGUACCACUUAAAUAUCAUGUUAUCAUAUUUUGAGUUCUGUUGUGUGUAUAGGAAAUCCUGAGUGAGAUUCUUUUUCU